GCCAGGCAUGGUGGUGCGUGCCUGUAAUCUCAGCUACUUGGGAGGCUGAGGCAGGAGAAUCGCUUGAACCUAGGAAGCAGAGGUGGCAGUGAACUGAGAUCAGGCACUGCACUGCAGCCUGGGGGAUAGAGUGAGACUCUGUCUCAA
rnacentral:SRP_RNA from 1 species